AAAUUGAAGAGUUUGAUCAUGGCUCAGAUUGAACGCUGGCGGCAGGCCUAACACAUGCAAGUCGAGCGGUAGCACAGAGAGCUUGCUCUCGGGUGACGAGCGGCGGACGGGUGAGUAAUGUCUGGGAAACUGCCUGAUGGAGGGGGAUAACUACUGGAAACGGUAGCUAAUACCGCAUAACGUCGCAAGACCAAAGUGGGGGACCUUCGGGCCUCAUGCCAUCAGAUGUGCCCAGAUGGGAUUAGCUAGUAGGUGGGGUAACGGCUCACCUAGGCGACGAUCCCUAGCUGGUCUGAGAGGAUGACCAGCCACACUGGAACUGAGACACGGUCCAGACUCCUACGGGAGGCAGCAGUGGGGAAUAUUGCACAAUGGGCGCAAGCCUGAUGCAGCCAUGCCGCGUGUGUGAAGAAGGCCUUCGGGUUGUAAAGCACUUUCAGCGGGGAGGAAGGCGGUGAGGUUAAUAACCUCACCGAUUGACGUUACCCGCAGAAGAAGCACCGGCUAACUCCGUGCCAGCAGCCGCGGUAAUACGGAGGGUGCAAGCGUUAAUCGGAAUUACUGGGCGUAAAGCGCACGCAGGCGGUCUGUCAAGUCGGAUGUGAAAUCCCCGGGCUCAACCUGGGAACUGCAUUCGAAACUGGCAGGCUAGAGUUUUGUAGAGGGGGGUAGAAUUCCAGGUGUAGCGGUGAAAUGCGUAGAGAUCUGGAGGAAUACCGGUGGCGAAGGCGGCCCCCUGGACAAAGACUGACGCUCAGGUGCGAAAGCGUGGGGAGCAAACAGGAUUAGAUACCCUGGUAGUCCACGCUGUAAACGAUGUCGAUUUGGAGGUUGUGCCCUUGAGGCGUGGCUUCCGGAGCUAACGCGUUAAAUCGACCGCCUGGGGAGUACGGCCGCAAGGUUAAAACUCAAAUGAAUUGACGGGGGCCCGCACAAGCGGUGGAGCAUGUGGUUUAAUUCGAUGCAACGCGAAGAACCUUACCUGGUCUUGACAUCCACAGAACUUAGCAGAGAUGCUUUGGUGCCUUCGGGAACUGUGAGACAGGUGCUGCAUGGCUGUCGUCAGCUCGUGUUGUGAAAUGUUGGGUUAAGUCCCGCAACGAGCGCAACCCUUAUCCUUUGUUGCCAGCGGUUAGGCCGGGAACUCAAAGGAGACUGCCAGUGAUAAACUGGAGGAAGGUGGGGAUGACGUCAAGUCAUCAUGGCCCUUACGACCAGGGCUACACACGUGCUACAAUGGCAUAUACAAAGAGAAGCGACCUCGCGAGAGCAAGCGGACCUCAUAAAGUAUGUCGUAGUCCGGAUUGGAGUCUGCAACUCGACUCCAUGAAGUCGGAAUCGCUAGUAAUCGUAGAUCAGAAUGCUACGGUGAAUACGUUCCCGGGCCUUGUACACACCGCCCGUCACACCAUGGGAGUGGGUUGCAAAAGAAGUAGGUAGCUUAACCUUCGGGAGGGCGCUUACCACUUUGUGAUUCAUGACUGGGGUGAAGUCGUAACAAGGUAACCGUAGGGGAACCUGCGGUUGGAUCACCUCCUUA
rnacentral:rRNA from 1 species